UUUUAUAAAUCAUAUAUAUGAAAGGAGGUUAACUCUCUCCCACAACUUGACACAUCAGCACAUAAGAGCUUGCCACCUAGACUUCAUAAAAUAAGUAAUACAGAAUUAGUAAUUAAUUCAACAUAACAACUAAAAUAGGAGGAUAUAAUUAAUCAGAACUUGAACCAUCACUCUUUCUACAUUUUUUUAAUUCAAUAUAUCCUCUUUAAUUUUAAGAUCCACUUAAGUGGCUAAAGUGAUCAUAAAAUCCAAACAUGCUAUACAUAUUCUUUGCCUAAAAAUUAGACGAUUAUUAUGUAAGAAACUAAAUAAAUAUGCAGAUUAAAUAUAUCUAAGCUUUUCGAGAUUUAUACUAAGAAAACAAGUAAUUUGAAAGAUGUUUGAGGAGUUAUCCUUAUAACUAAUACGUAAGAUAUAAGAUUAUGACAAGAACUUACUAAACUUUCCAAGAACAUCAAAUUGAAUAUGAUUAGAUUGAAUAUGCAUAUACAUGGUUAAUAAAGACAUGUUAUAUAUUUAGUGUAAGAAAUAAAUUGUAUAAAAUUUCACCGUCUCACAAUCUAAACAUAUAACCAAAAAAACAAGAAUAUAU
rnacentral:sRNA from 1 species